GGGUCUGCUUCUUCAAAUAUUGGCGAUCACACCAUGGUUUUAUAUUGUUUUGGAAAUAACUUUUAGUUGAAAAACUUCGAGGAGUUCAUUGUAAGUUCAGUUACAGCUGGAGGGAUAUAAUUUAUUGUAAUUUAUUAGUCAUUGAAUAUCCGACAGCCGAGGCCAAAUGUGGAGAUGGCAUAACCAGAAGAGGGAACGAACUGGCCUGGAUGUGACUCAUACUUGGAAGGGAGCUGUCUGGAAGGACCACAGUACCUGCAGCCAACUUUGUUGAUUUAAAAUAUUUUGUUCUCACACACAAUGCUGCAACUGUACAUAACUCAGCUUCUAUAUAUGCAAGUGUAUCUGCAGAACAAAU
rnacentral:lncRNA from 1 species